AGGGCACCACCAGGAGUGGAGCCUGCGGCUUAAUUUGACUCAACACGGGAAAACUCACCCGGCCCGGACACUGGAAGGAUUGACAGAUUGAGAGCUCUUUCUUGAUUCAGUGGGUGGUGGUGCAUGGCCGUUCUUAGUUGGUGGAGUGAUUUGUCUGGUUAAUUCCGAUAACGAACGAGACUCUAGCCUACUAAAUAGUCGCGGGCGUUCUCGUACCGCCCGUCGGCUUCUUAGAGGGACAGGCGGCGUCUUAGCCGCAUGAGAAAGAGCAAUAACAGGUCUGUGAUGCCCUUAGAUGUCCGGGGCUGCACGCGCGCUACACUGAAGUAAUCAGCGCGCAUGCAGCCGCCUACCCCGAAAGGGGCGGGAAACCGAGUGAACAUUUUUCUUGUCUGGCAUUGGGAAUAGGAAUUAAGUAUCUAUGCAGCGAGGAAUGGACAAAAACAAGGAGUUAGCAGAUUAAGGGGAGAAGGGCGAUACACAUUAGAACAAAACUCAUUCUCUAUAUCUAAUUAAAUG
rnacentral:rRNA from 1 species